rnacentral:rRNA from 1 species
AGCGAACGCUGGCGGCAGGCCUAACACAUGCAAGUCGAACGGCAGCACGGGAGCAAUCCUGGUGGCGAGUGGCGAACGAGUGAGUAAUACAUCGGAACGUGCCCAGUAGUGGGGGAUAGCCCGGCGAAAGCCGGAUUAAUACCGCAUACGACCUGAGGGUGAAAGCGGGGGAUCGCAAGACCUCGCGCUAUUGGAGCGGCCGAUGUCGGAUUAGCUAGUUGGUGGGGUAAAGGCUCACCAAGGCGACGAUCGAUAGCUGGUCUGAGAGGAUGAUCAGCCACACUGGAACUGAGACACGGUCCAGACUCCUACGGGAGGCAGCAGUGGGGAAUUUUGGACAAUGGGGGCAACCCUGAUCCAGCCAUUCCGCGUGAGUGAAGAAGGCCUUCGGGUUGUAAAGCUCUUUCGGCAGGAACGAAACGGCCAUUACUAAUACUAGUGGUCAAUGACGGUACCUGAAGAAGAAGCACCGGCUAACUACGUGCCAGCCGCCGCCGUAAUAC